rnacentral:lncRNA from 1 species
UUUCUAUAUGUGAGUUUUCAAAUAUAGUGUGAUUUAUCCCCAGAAAAAAUUCCCAGUCUUCUAAUCCCAUAACUGGGAGCCACUGGGAGCCACUUGGAGUUUGCCAGUAAACUUUCUUAAGUUCCUGCUGUAUCACUCCUCUGUUGCUUUCUAGAAUUGUCCUGACUGAAAGUGGAGGUCUUUGAUAGAAAAUGGAACCAUCUUCAGUGUUCUUAAUGUUAACUUUGCACAUAUCAUUUUCACUCUAAGUUGCUCUAAUUUUCAGUAGGUGCUGUACCUAAAUCACGUUACCUCCUAAAUUCCUCUUCUUUUCAGACAUAGAGAUAAAACAGUAUUAGAAGGACUCCAAGAAGCCUGGAAGAGGGAUGAAGCCACUUUGGAAUGCUGCCUCCAUAUUUGUUCUUUUGGUUAAUUCACUUCUUGGCACUGCCACCAGAGGGCAGGCAAAGGAAGGGAGAAGCAGCAAUCACUUUUAGAUAUUCCAUCAAAAACAGAUGUUAUUUCAUCAGGGGUUGUCACAGUCACAAUAACUGGAUGCGAAGACAUCAAAGAAUCAUCCUCUUGUACAUUUGCCAAAUAUUGAUGUUCAGGUUUUUCUAAUAUUAACUUGUUAUUGGAAUUUGGAUACUUCAUAAUUAAUGAAAGAAAAUAUUAGCAGUUUAUCCUUUAGUUCUAAUCACCUCUCGUUUCCCUCCUAGGUUUUGUCAGCAAUACAGACUGGUUAGUUAUUUUGACUCUUAAGCAGUAAGAUUCUGAAAUCUAACUCUGCUAAAUCACUACUAACUUUAAAAAUUUCAUUGGCUCUACUUAAUUAAAAAUAUUUCCAAAACAGGAGUAUGCUGUAUUAGCUUACAUUUUCCAAUUAUGCGGGUUUCAUUUAUAACAGAAAAGGUAC